rnacentral:rRNA from 1 species
UACGUAGGGUGCAAGCGUUAAUCGGAAUUACUGGGCGUAAAGCGUGCGCAGGCGGUUGUGCAAGACAGAUGUGAAAUCCCCGGGCUUAACCUGGGAAUUGCAUUUGUGACUGCACGGCUAGAGUGUGUCAGAGGGGGGUAGAAUUCCACGUGUAGCAGUGAAAUUCGUAGAUAUUGGGAGGAACACCGGUGGCGAAGGCGACCACCUGGACGGAAAACUGACGCUGAGGCGCGAAAGCGUGGGUAGCAAACAGG